AUUGAACGCUGGCGGCAGGCCUAACACAUGCAAGUCGAACGGUAACAGGAAGAGGCUUGCUUCUUUGCUGACGAGUGGCGGACGGGUGAGUAAUGUCUGGGAAACUGCCUGAUGGAGGGGGAUAACUACUGGAAACGGUAGCUAAUACCGCAUAACGUCGCAAGACCAAAGAGGGGGACCUUCGGGCCUCUUGCCAUCGGAUGUGCCCAGAUGGGAUUAGCUAGUAGGUGGGGUAACGGCUCACCUAGGCGACGAUCCCUAGCUGGUCUGAGAGGAUGACCAGCCACACUGGAACUGAGACACGGUCCAGACUCCUACGGGAGGCAGCAGUGGGGAAUAUUGCACAAUGGGCGCAAGCCUGAUGCAGCCAUGCCGCGUGUAUGAAGAAGGCCUUCGGGUUGUAAAGUACUUUCAGCGGGGAGGAAGGGAGUAAAGUUAAUACCUUUGCUCAUUGACGUUACCCGCAGAAGAAGCACCGGCUAACUCCGUG
rnacentral:rRNA from 1 species